rnacentral:rRNA from 1 species
GACGAACGCUGGCGGCGUGCCUAAUACAUGCAAGUAGAACGCAGUUGCGAACGGGUGAGUAACGCGUAGGUAACUGCCUCAUAGCGGGGGAUAACUAUUGGAAACGAUAGCUAAUACCGCAUACUGUGAGAUGGAUCUGCGUUGGUUUUGCUAGUUGGUGAGGUAAAGGUACACCAAGGCGCCGAUACAUAGCCGACCUGGGAGGGGGGACGGCCACAAUGGGACUGGGGAACGGGCCAGACUCCUACGGGAGGCAGCAGUAGGGGAUCUUCGGCAAUGGACGGAAGGCUGGCCAAAGAAAGCCGGGGGAGUGGAGGAGGGUUUCGGGUCGUAAAGCUCUGUUGUUCGAGAAGCGGUAACUGACCAGAAAGGGACGGCUAACUACGUGCCAGCAGCCGCGGUAAUAC